rnacentral:misc_RNA from 1 species
GAUGAAGAACGUAGUGAAAUGCGAUACUUGGUGUGAAUUGCAGAAUCCCGUGAACCAUCGAGUCUUUGAACGCAAGUUGCGCCUCAAGCCAUUAGGUUGAGGGCACGUCUGCCUGGGCGUCACAUAUCGUUGCCUGAUGCCAGUUUCCUCGUGAUGGGUGACUGUGCAGGGCGAAUGAUGGCUUCCCGUGAGCAUUGUUGCCUCAUGGUUGGUUGAAAAUUGAGUCCUUGGUAGGGAGCGCCGUGAUAGAUGGUGGUUGAGUGACAAACGAGACCCAAUCAUGUGAGACCCCUACCGAAUUUGGCCUUCAUGACCCACAUGCGUCUUUGGAACGCUCAUGACGAGACCUCAGGUCAGGCGGGGCUACCCGCUGAGUUUAAGCAUGUCAAUAAGCGGAGGA